UGUUUUUCAGGACUGCACGAACCCGAGAUACCUUGCAGCAGGCACAUCAAAUGCAGUGAAGCUAAGCAGGUUCUUUGAUAAGGUUAUAGAAAAGAGAUAUUUCACAAGGGAUCCAAGUCAGAUGACAGGUUUCACUGACAGAAAACGGUUCAACUUCAAGAGUUUGCACUAUGACUGAUGAUGCAUGAAUGCUACAGCGAUGGUUUGGGGUUUUAUCAUAAAGUGUUUAGGCUUUUUUUUUUUUUCUUUCUUUUUACCACAACAACCACACUCACUGAAAUACUUUCAAUAUCUGUUCUGUCUCUACCCACAAUUGGUACACUGUCAUUUCUCUUUAAUCCAUUCAGUCUAAACACAUUUACAGUUUGCAUUAAAGAAGGACUUUAAGAGUAAAAUGUUUUGAAAUGACAUGAGCACUAUAUUUAUGUGUGCAUAGUGAGACUUUCCAUUGAAUAACAAUACAAUUUCAAGCAUUCUUCUUCAGUUUUUAAUGCAAAAAACCCCAAAGCCUUGAUAUUUGAUAAUCAA